UCCUAGCCCCGAUUGCAGUGGAAAUCCUUUUUUCAGCGGCGGCUUUGCCGCCGCUGAAAAAAGAUUGUAACGGAAAGCGGGACCUAGC
rnacentral:sRNA from 1 species